CUGAGAGAGAGCAUAAGUCUUGAGCCAUUCCUGUUCUUGCUAGGAUUACUGCUGCUAUGGAUUGGAUGAGUUCAAAGGUCGUGUACUCAAGGAAGAUGGCUCCAGAAGGAAGGUCACAUGAAGAAGAACUGCAACAACUACAAGAAGUGGUUUGAGAAGAACAAGAACAAAGGUACGGGAGCCUCGAUUCAUAUAGCUCAUAAUGUGUAGGAAUUCACAAGAAGGAGGGAACCAAGAAAGCAUGAAGUUAAAGUGUUCGUGGGGAAUGGAGAGCAAGUAGAUGUGGAAGCCAUUGGAGUAGUGCAACUGAAAUUGGAUUCUGGUUUU